AUUCGACUUAACGCGUCGUUAAUGUUUCUCGAUCAUUAAUCAUGAGGUCCAUCUUCGUGGACGUGAGUGGCUCCUGUCCACUCUGUUUGACGCCUCCCUGUUAUCAACUGAGCCGCCGCUUUCGGCGGCUCUUUUUUU
rnacentral:sRNA from 1 species